UACGUAGGGUGCAAGCGUAAUCGGAAUUACUGGGCGUAAAGCGUGCGUAGGUGGUUUGUUAAGUCUGUCGUGAAAUCCCCGGGCUCAACCUGGGAAUUGCGAUGGAGACUGCAAGGCUAGAAUCUGGCAGAGGGGGGUAGAAUUCCACGUGUAGCAGUGAAAUGCGUAGAGAUGUGGAGGAACACCGAUGGCGAAGGCAGGUCUCUGGGCCACUACUGACGCUGAGAAGCGAAAAGCAUGGGGAGCCGAACAGG
rnacentral:rRNA from 1 species